UACGGGGGGGGUAAGCGUUGUUCGGAAUUACUGGGCGUAAAGGGCUCGUAGGCGGCCAACUAAGUCAGACGUGAAACCCCUCAGCUUAACUGGGGAACUGCGUCUGAUACUGGAUGGCUUGGAUCCGGGAGAGGGAUGCGGAAUUCCAGGUGUAGCGGUGAAAUGCGUAGAUAUCUGGAGGAACACCGGUGGCGAAGGCGGCAUCCUGGACCGGUAUUGACGCUGAGGAGCGAAAGCCAGGGGAGCAAACGGG
rnacentral:rRNA from 1 species